CCUUAUGGAAGUGGCUUCUCUGAGGGCUCCAGAUCAAUAAAGUAGUGGGUGAUCCGGUCCUUGGAUUUGGGAUCCAUGUCCCAGGAGAUCUUGAAGGAGUCACAUGUGAUGUUGCUGAUUUUGAUGUUGUGGGGGACGGGAAGCUCUUCCAUUUCUGCAAUGCCGCUGUCUUGUGAUUUAUUCCCUGCAUGGAAACAACAUUGGAUGUUGGUGGUUUUACCAAUAUGGCUGUUUCAGAGAAUUACAAAUUGCACAAAAGGGACAGAAUCCGGAUAUAAUUAAGGCUCGGCACGUAUUGCCGGCAUCGCUGUGUUGCUGUGCGUCACUGCUGCCUCCAUUGAAUUCUAUGGAACAUGACUGCAUGAAUCUGAAGACAAAAACACAACUGUCCCCACGUUAUUAGCACUGUCGGAGCACAAGCAUUCUCUUACAUGCUGGGGGAAUCUCUGCAUUGUGGUAAAAACGGAGAUUUAUGUUCAAAAACUUCAAUUUACACCAUGCACCAUGUUCAUAAAUGAGGUUUUAGGUGGCUUCUCUGGGUGCACAAGGGUGAACAUGUGCAGGCCCGGACUGGCAAUCUGUGGGUUCUGGCAAAUGCCAGAGGGGCUGGGGUGAGAUGCCAUUGACACUCACUAUUUAUUGGGCUGCUGGGGGGCUGAUUGUGUCCCUGUGUACUUGCAAUGCCAGGGGAUAUUUUGACUUCCAUUCCAGACCUGGAUGUGUGGCUAGGGCUUUGGGGUUGGAAGGGGCCACAGUGGUGGUAGAGGACAAGGGAGGAGGGUACGGUUGCCACCCAGCUAGGGCUUGUGCCAGUACAGGUAUAGGACCCAUUA